UCCCUGAUGGUCCAAUGGUUAGAACUCAGUGCUUUUACUGCUGAGGCUUAGCUUCGAUCCCUGGUCAGGGAA
rfam:TPA: Bos taurus chromosome 5, whole genome shotgun sequence.